rnacentral:sRNA from 1 species
CGCCAUCUUUUCACAGAAUUUUUCCUUCCGCGUGCGAUGACGAAACUCGUUCAUUUUAUUUCAAGACUCGAAAUGUGAACGAUAUUGAAACCCUAAGCAUUUGGCUAAGUCAAAAUCCGUGCACUCCACGUGCAUGGUUCAUGUGAGACACCUCGGGACAACAUGUGAGCCCGUUGAGACACCUCAGGACAACAUGUGAGCCCGUUGAGACACCUCAGGACAACAUGUGAGCCCGUUGAGACACCUCAGGACAACAUGUGAGCCCGUUGAGACACAUUGGGCAGUGAGCCCUCUGGGGACGCCAUUGCCACACUGGAGAUUUUACAUUCCGGUUUGAGGUUAUGUAUGAGAAGCUGCAGCGCGCACAUGGAUUUACCGAUAAAGAUCAACUCAGAAAUGUGGUUUAUCGAAGACAAAUAUACCUAAAUGAGUUCGUUUAUUCGACUACAUUCAUAAGAGUGACGUUGACCAGCCUCGUAUAAAAAGAAUUCCAUAUCAUCAAAUAUUAAAAUAAAUAAAUUAAUAAAAUCAAAUAAUCACGAA